rnacentral:rRNA from 1 species
GUACACGCUGUGACUAGCAUAUCAAUAAGCGGAGGAAAAGAAACUAACAAGGAUUCCCCUAGUAACGGCGAGUGAAGCGGGAAGAGCUCAAAUUUGAAAUCUUAAAGGGUUUCCCUUUACGAAUUGUAGUUUAAAGAAGUGUUUUCUGUUGAGGUUUUGGUAAAGUUCUUUGGAAUAGGACAUCAUAGAGGGUGAGAAUCCCGUAUUUGACCUUUACUUUCAACUUUGUGAUACACUUUCAAAGAGUCGGAUUGUUUGGGAAUGCAGUCCAAAAUGGGUGGUAAAUUUCAUCUAAAGCUAAAUAUUGGCAGAGAGACCGAUAGCGAACAAGUACCGUGAGGGAAAGAUGAAAAGAACUUUGAAAAGAGAGUUAAACAGUACGUGAAAUUGUCAAAAGGGAAGCGUUUGACACCAGUGUUGUUUUUCUGAAAAUCAAUUAAAGAACUGUUUAUGCUAAGCUGUUUAGACUUUAUCAGCUAUCUGUUUAGUUUUGAGCUUUUCUUUAAUGCACUUUUCAGUUAACAAGUCAACAUCAAUUUCUUUUGCUGUAAAAAAGCUUGAGGAAGGUGGCUUGAGAUUCGUCUUAAGUGUUUAUAGCCUCUUGCCUAUGCAGUCGGAGAGAUUGAGGUCUGCAGCGUAGAUCCUUCGGGGCUAAAUGCAUUUGUGCUAAGUUAUAGCAUUUCAUAGACAACUUGUUGACUAUGAUUUGUCUUGUAGCUUACUCGCUUAUGUUAUUUUACCUACGCUUAGGAUGUUGAGUCGUAGAGCACGCAG